GGAAACCACACCCUCCUACACUUGUAGUUCCAUCUCCACUUCAGAAUGAUCUCUUAAGAAGUUCUCUAUCAGAACACAGAAAACUAAUAUGGGAAUCAUGUUGUAACACAUCAGCCGAUUCAGGACACAGUAAAGAAGCAUUUUUACCCUGGUUUAUCAUCUCUGUUUCUUCCUUUUUCCUCUUUAUCACCUGGGAUUUUAUCAACAGGACCAAGUAGAGCUUCUUCACCUGUCCAUAUUUACAGCUUAGACUCUGAAUAAACAAUUUUAC